UAGGGAAUAUUAGAAAUGGACGAAAGUCUGAUCUAGCAACACCGCGUGUGCGAAGAAGGCCUUCGGGUCGUAAAGCACUUUUUGGAGGGAAUAGGAAGGAAUUUACUUCCAGAACAAGUCUCGGCUAACUACGUGCCAGCAGCCGCGGUAACACGUAGGAGGCAAACGUUAUCCGGAUUUACUGGGCGUAAAGCGCGUGUAGGUGGUACUGUAAGUAGGGCGUGAAAGCUCCUGGCUCAACUGGGAGAGGCCGUUCUAAACUACAGAACUAGAGGAUGGUAGAGGGAGGUGGAAUUCCAGGUGUAGCGGUGGAAUGCGCAGGUAUCUGGAGGAACACCGGUGGCGAAGGCGGCCUCCUGGACCAUUCCUGACACUCAGACGCGAAAGCUAGGGUAGCAAACGG
rnacentral:rRNA from 1 species